GGUUAAGUGAAUAAGGGCGCACGGUGGAUGCCUUGGCACUAGGAGCCGAUGAAGGACGGGACUAACACCGAUAUGCUUUGGGGAGCUGUAAGUAAGCUAUGAUCCAGAGAUUUCCGAAUGGGGGAACCCAAUAUCUUUUAUAGGAUAUUACUUUUCAGUGAAUACAUAGCUGAUUAGAGGUAGACGCAGAGAACUGAAACAUCUUAGUACCUGCAGGAAGAGAAAGAAAAUUCGAUUCCCUGAGUAGCGGCGAGCGAAACGGGAAGAGCCCAAACCAACAAGCUUGCUUGUUGGGGUUGUAGGACUCCAAUAUGGUAGUCUGUUAGUAUAGUUGAAGGAUUUGGAAAAUUCCGCUAAAGAGGGUGAAAGCCCCGUAGACGAAAUGCUGACAACACCUAGGAGGAUCCUGAGUACGGCGGAACACGAGAAAUUCCGUCGGAAUCCGCGGGGACCAUCCCGCAAGGCUAAAUACUCCCUAGUGACCGAUAGUGAACCAGUACCGUGAGGGAAAGGUGAAAAGCACCCCGGAAGGGGAGUGAAAUAGAUCCUGAAACCGUGUGCCUACAACAAGUCAAAGCUCGUUAAUGAGUGAUGGCGUGCCUUUUGUAGAAUGAACCGGCGAGUUACGAUUGCAUGCGAGGUUAAGUCGAAGAGACGGAGCCGCAGCGAAAGCGAGUCUGAAUAGGGCGAA
rnacentral:rRNA from 1 species